GGUGGAACAGGGAGGACACAAGGAGUGGCUCCUGCGUCAGGUGUGCUGAGCCCCUGCUGCAGUAACCUGCACGGUCAGUCUCUGAAGUUCUCUAUAUCGGAAAGGUGGAUGGUGAGAUAACGACGGGAGACAUUUACAAAUCGUAUAUCCAGCAAACACCUCGCCUGCACUCCAUACAAUGCGUACGAGUGUGUAUAACCCACGCUGAAACCCCAGGAAUGAAUGGUGUCGGGAGCUUGAUCUUCCUUCCCAGCUCUGGUGUCAGGCUGAAAUGACUCAAUCGAAGCCAAACGCGUUACAUCGGGGUAUCGAACUGAGCCAGCGAACGUGCCUCAUGCCCAUGCAGGUGCCACAGAGCAUGGCAGCACAGAGAGGGGUGUAGCUGUGAGCACACCUAGGGCACUCCAGAGCCCCAGGCCCUGGGCAGCUCCGCAGGCAGUGCAGCACUGUGCUGAGCCAAGGGCCAGGGCAUCGCUGCCACCUGCCCCGCAGCUCCCUCCAUGCCACAGCCAAACUUCACAGCUGCACUCAUCCACCAGCACAGACCCGGAUCAAAUGACAGUGACAAAACUAUUUGCCUUUAGAGACACCUGGUAAAAUGGACAGGGGCGAGUUCCCCUGAGCUGGAUGUUUCUGUCCAGCCUGGGCUUAGUGGGGCCACGCUGCUCCAGCCAGACGUUGAUGCUUCCUUCCACAACCCCAAGCUAUAACGCUACCUCUGCUAUUUCCAGUGGAACUUUACAUAAUGAAGAAGAGCCCCUCAUAAGCCUGAACUGAAACACCGGGAGACACUCUUCAGAUCUUAUUUCUCCCCUCUGCCCCUGCACUCCUAUUCAGUACUGCUGGGUAUCCGAUUCAGGCACAUGCGUGGCAUUUUAAUUCAUUAUUUAUCCACACUGUCUCAAAUGGUAGCACUUUGACAAUAAUCAACGCAUCUCGAGUGGGAGGCUGCACAGCUGGGAGCAGCAUGAGGAUGCCCAGAAAGCGGAGAACAGUUCCCUGCCACAGGGGGGUGAGGAGAGGCAAGGGAUAGGUGUAAGGGACCGCAAUAGGAUAAAAAUAAAGCAAAUUAAACGUGUGGGUUUGGAAUCCCCCAAGACAUUCUGGUCGAGAGGACGGGUCUCUAACCCGCAUGCAGUUCCAGCUGAGAGCACCACGUUAACCUCCCUUUCCUGCCGUUCAGUUCACGAACUGCUCUAACGCCAGCAAUCGGUUUUUGCCCCCUAUUAAACUUGGAGGCUAAGAACGAGGCACGGCUGAUUUUCGGAAAGCUCAGGCUCAAUUUCCCGGGAGGAAAAAAAAAGGAGAGGUGCGUGUGCGGGGCAGCUCUGCCCACACCGCCACACGGCUCUCACGGUCCGGGCAAGUUGGCGGCGCCCCCCCCGGCGGGGAGCCCCGGCAGAGCCCAGCACGACCCCAGCGCACCCGCGGAGCCCCCGGGGCCGGCAGCGCUGCCCCCGCCGUGCCCCCCCGGCUCUGCCCGGGACCCCCCGGCUCUGCACGUCGCCACCAGCAGCGUGCCCGAGCUGGGGUUCUAUUGAUUGAUUUUUUUAUUUUUCCCCUCCACUGCGCUCCCACCCCCGCCGGCGCGGCUCGGGUGGGCGCCCCCCGGCCGGGCGAUCUAUAUUCUGGAAGAGACAGAGUUGUGGACCCAUCUUCUCAAGGACCCUAAGCUAUUUUGUCUAGCAGAGAGUUAACCCCAGCAUUCUGCAUUCUGUUUCUCACAGCACACUUUCUUCUGAAAUUCCCUCUGUUGCCCCAAACAGAUGAGAGAUUCUCCUUUAUAAAGUGUAGCACACUGGUGUCUCCCUGUGGCUGCCAAACAGAGGAUGAAGUCCUGUCCUCAGCUGAAGUCAAUGGCAAAAGUGUCACGGACCCUUGAUGAGGCCCGGGUCUCGUGCAAAAUGUUUAACCUUAUCAGUAAUGGAUGAAGUGAUUGCUCUAUGGCCAAUUCCAUCCUAACCCCUCCACUGCUACAAAGACGCCUAAGCUGUGUAUAGUUCCCAUUGAUUCGUCUGACUUUUGUAUGAUGUAGUUUUCCAUUUUUUUAGAGUAUUUUGAGAUCUCUGUAAAUGAGAACUAUAAAUAUGCUAUCAAAAUUAAUUAGUUCUUAAGCUUUCAUAUGCAACAUGAUAUUUCACUUCCGAUUUGCCUCCAGCGCAGGAUGUGUACAUGAUGUAAUUCAGUCCUCAUUUCGCAUUCACAAGUGUGCUCUUAUUACUGUGCCAUGGCUCAGGAAGACUCCAAGUACCGAAGGCACAGGAUCCCUCAGUAUGAUUCAAGCUGAGCAAUAAAUAGGUCCCCAUUCUGUAAAUGGAUGAAACUUCUUUAGACAAGAAAUUUCUCCUAUUCCCACGGGCCUCCUAAAGAUAUAAUUUUUGAUUCCUAGAUACAGGGUGAAUAUCCUUUUCAGAAAGCUGAUCUAGCAACCAAGCGUAUGUACCCAGUCUGCAUUGUGAAAGGGAAAAAAGCUCACAGGUCUCUUCCUCUCUCUCAGUGUUUCUGUUCUCUUCUUUUGUUUGGCUUUCACUAUUGUCAUCUUUUGCCACUCUAUUUUAUUUUAUAUAUAACUUUAUUUCAGGAAAACUGCUGCUUAGUCUUUUUGAACUAUUAUACUUCAAGACAGUCUUCUCCCUAUUUCCCGUGGCAGAUAGUAUUAAAUAAAAUAUUUAACACUGUGAUUUUGUCUUUUUUUUUCAACUAGACUGAUGAAAUCUGCAUUUUUUUACUAUAACAGAACCAUGCCAUUUUCCCCCCCCCCCCCCUUUUUUUUUUUUUUCCCUCCUUUGACAAAUAACAAACCAUUUUCAUGCUUUAAAUGUUAUCCAGAAAUUUAACCAAAGAAGGCUAUGGGGAAUUCUUCAUUUUUACAUUUGAAACAGAGAAUUAAUUUUCAACUUCCCCAGAUGGCUGGGGAAUUAAUGGAAUUAUAAUAUCAUUGGAUAUAAAAUUUUAAAGAUGAGUAACUGAGAAAAGAAAGAAUUUUAAGUCAGACUGUUGAAAAUGCUCCGAUUUAUGAUUUUUGUUGUUAACACCUACUUAAUCCAAUACCUAAUAAACAAUUUGGAGAAGGAAUCCAAAGGGAUCUAUUUGUUUAAAAAAAUCAACACUCCUGUCCUUUCAAUUAAAAUGUCAGAGCUCACAAUAAACAUCUGAGACCUUCAACAAGUCCUCCAGCAAGGCAGAAGAAAACCCAAAGCUGACAUAUUCAUGGGAUUUCUAAGACAAAAGCAGUUCUCCACUCCGCUGUCCUCCAGACAUAAACCAAAAUAAUCCCAGAGCAAUCGUUUAGGACUGCUUUCUGCGUCUUUAAAAGCAAAAAGGAUAAGGGCAUUUUUAAAAGCGUUUUGUCAAUCAUCUAUAAAAGAGUAGGCUGAACGUUCUCUUCGUAUUCUUUGCAGUUUAUUCUUGUAUGUAUAAUUACUUGGUGCCAGGAAGCUCCUGUCUAAGUGUAGUAAUAGAAGGUAUACAAGCAGUUUCUAUCUAACUUUCAAAAAGGUUGGCCUGUAAAAUAUGCAAAUAUCAGCUUAAAGCAGAUUUUUAUGUAAAUGUAAAGAGCUGUCAUCAUCACACUCUGGUAGAUGCUGCCUUCUCAAUGAAGACAAAUAUACAGCUAACGAAAAAC